rnacentral:piRNA from 1 species
GCUCAGUUGGUAGAGCGGAGGAC